GCUGCUGUGAGAACAAGGAAGAGUCAGUGCCUAGGGGAGCUGCCUACGAGAAACAUUAAGGAGAAUUUUGUCAGGUGAAAAAAGGGGUUUGUUUAUCCAGUGGUGUCAGAGGAGUCAUCUCCAGAAUUGCAGCCCACCUGCUCGUUUCCCCAUGCAGCUCUGCAUCGCUGCACAAGGAUCCUUCCUGCCAACUAUCUAUGGGCCUUUGUGUUUCCUUUUGCCUGGAAUUCAUGAUUCUGUAUUAGGAUUUCACAAAGAGCCUACUUUGAGUUAAUUGAAGCUGCUAAACCACAUCAAAUGACUCAAAGAUCACUCAUUGUGAAAGCAGCUCCUGGACUGCUUUUGACCCGCAAGGCAGGAGUGAAAUUCAAUCCAAAGGAAUGAAAAUUACGAAGAUAACAUAGCUCAGCAUAGAGCUUUCUGCUGGUGUCCCCUCCAUUGCCUGUGAUCUUUCAGACAAUGGCAGAGCAGCAGUGUGAGAAGAAGGAGGCAGUGUAGCAAAUAUGGUCAGGAUUGGCAUCCCAUUAGAGAAAACAAGCAAAAAACCUCCCAAAAAGUUUAAUUUAAUCUACAGUACUGGUUUGGAUUUGCUGGGACCCCAAAAUUCCACUUCUGCAAACAAGUAAGUGUCACCUAGUCACUGGAAGACUAGGAAUGGGAACACCUCUACAGACUAAUUAAAGGAGAAACACCUGAAUUUUUAUAAAACUGGAUUAUGAAGUCUCUGGGUAUCCCCAGUACCCUCUAAUUUGACUAUGCCUGGAUGUCACCUUGCCUCUUCACCACCUGUGUGUCUCUGGAAUGACACAUAACCAGACUGCUGUGGUUGGAUCCUGGCAGUUUUUUGAGGCUGCUGCUUUGCACCUAGCUGUGGCAGGACAUGGACAGUACUUACAGGAGACUCCUGAAGUCUCUUUGGAGAAACCAUCAUCCCACUGCUUCAGAGCAGUGGGGCUUCAUUCUGGGUAAGCUGAGACUUUCCUGAUGAGCCUCUGAAAAGGCUGUGGAUCUGAAGUGACCUCCUUUGUCCUCCUGGUUGAGCUUAGGCACUGCACAAGGCAUCAGGCAGAGAACUGGCUGGAGAUGCAGCCAGAGCCAGCUCAGUGUCUCAGCAAUCAGGGAAGUCCGUGGUUAGGUGAGAGGUACAGGGUCAGGAUGUAGCAAAUCAGGAUCAGACCCAGUGAGGAGGGGCUUGGACUCCACUAAGUCAUGGCAGGGAUGUGGGAAUGGGCCAGGGAGGCCAGACAGGGACAGGAUGGACCAUUAACUGUCCUUCAUAAAUAUCACUUACCCUCCAGGGCAAAUGUGUACUCACUGCUGGAAUGUGAAUUUCUUGUUCUGAAUUCGUUGGUUAAAUUCAGUCAUAACAUGAGUCUCAUAGCAGCCAAGAGGAGACAGGCUCUCAUCCCUUCAGAAUACUUAUCCCUCAUCAAAUGAUGAAAAGCUAAGGUGGCUGCAGUCCUUGUCUGCCUGAGCAGCCGUGACCUUGCAGUACACUAAUGUGCUGUGUUUACACCAUUAAUUUAACUUUAACUGCCUUGCAUUUGACUUGAAUUUUCACAUUGCUUGUUUGCUUUGUGCUUCUUUGGCUCUCACUGCAGUUCUGUCAUUGGAGAAAUGAAGUAAAGUGAUUAAUGACAUUUAAAUUAAUUAAAACAAUCAAUUAAUUUAAUUUAAUCCAUUUAAAUUAAUUAAGUUGAUUAAUAAAAUGAAUUCCAGGGACUCAGAUUCUGCUGCUUGCUUUAACUCUGUGUCCUUGGUACCAGGGCACAUUGUGCUGGACUGUCUGAUGGGUAGCCAGAGGAAGUCCCCUCAGGCAGAGGUGGGAUGUCCUGAUCACCAAUGCCUGUAGACCCUGUGAUGUGC